rnacentral:rRNA from 1 species
GUUAAUUGAUUAUGACGUGCUUGCACUGAAUGAGAUUUUAACACGAAGUGAGUGGCGGACGGGUGAGUAACACGUGGGUAACCUGCCCAGAAGCAGGGGAUAACACCUGGAAACAGAUGCUAAUACCGUAUAACAGAGAAAACCGCCUGGUUUUCUUUUAAAAGAUGGCUCUGCUAUCACUUCUGGAUGGACCCGCGGCGCAUUAGCUAGUUGGUGAGGUAACGGCUCACCAAGGCGAUGAUGCGUAGCCGACCUGAGAGGGUAAUCGGCCACAUUGGGACUGAGACACGGCCCAGACUCCUACGGGAGGCAGCAGUAGGGAAUCUUCCACAAUGGACGCAAGUCUGAUGGAGCAACGCCGCGUGAGUGAAGAAGGGUUUCGGCUCGUAAAGCUCUGUUGUUAAAGAAGAACGUGGGUGAGAGUAACUGUUCACCCAGUGACGGUAUUUAACCAGAAAGCCACGGCUAACUACGUGCCAGCAGCCGCGGUAAUACGUAGGUGGCAAGCGUUAUCCGGAUUUAUUGGGCGUAAAGCGAGCGCAGGCGGUCUUUUAAGUCUAAUGUGAAAGCCUUCGGCUCAACCGAAGAAGUGCAUUGGAAACUGGGAGACUUGAGUGCAGAAGAGGACAGUGGAACUCCAUGUGUAGCGGUGAAAUGCGUAGAUAUAUGGAAGAACACCAGUGGCGAAGGCGGCUGUCUGGUCUGUAACUGACGCUGAGGCUCGAAAGCAUGGGUAGCGAACAGGAUUAGAUACCCUGGUAGUCCAUGCCGUAAACGAUGAUUACUAAGUGUUGGAGGGUUUCCGCCCUUCAGUGCUGCAGCUAACGCAUUAAGUAAUCCGCCUGGGGAGUACGACCGCAAGGUUGAAACUCAAAAGAAUUGACGGGGGCCCGCACAAGCGGUGGAGCAUGUGGUUUAAUUCGAAGCUACGCGAAGAACCUUACCAGGUCUUGACAUCUUCUGCCAACCUAAGAGAUUAGGCGUUCCCUUCGGGGACAGAAUGACAGGUGGUGCAUGGUUGUCGUCAGCUCGUGUCGUGAGAUGUUGGGUUAAGUCCCGCAACGAGCGCAACCCUUAUUACUAGUUGCCAGCAUUCAGUUGGGCACUCUAGUGAGACUGCCGGUGACAAACCGGAGGAAGGUGGGGACGACGUCAAAUCAUCAUGCCCCUUAUGACCUGGGCUACACACGUGCUACAAUGGAUGGUACAACGAGUCGCGAAACCGCGAGGUUUAGCUAAUCUCUUAAAACCAUUCUCAGUUCGGACUGUAGGCUGCAACUCGCCUACACGAAGUCGGAAUCGCUAGUAAUCGCGGAUCAGCAUGCCGCGGUGAAUACGUUCCCGGGCCUUGUACACACCGCCCGUCACACCAUGAGAGUUUGUAACACCCAAAGCCGGUGGGGUANCCUUUUAGGAGCUAGCCNU